rnacentral:misc_RNA from 1 species
UAUCCCUUGUUCUUGAGGCCCCACCUGAC